rnacentral:rRNA from 1 species
AUGGUAAUAUCGAUGAAGAUGAGUCAUCGAAUCAAAGCCGGAUUGAUGAAGUGGUGCCAAGCUUCUGGUGUUCAAUGUGAUAAGAGAGUGCCACAAAAGCUAAAAGACAGCUUCUAUAGGACGGCGAUUCGACCCGCAAUAUUGUAUGGCGCUGAGUGUUGGCCGAUUAAAAAGCGACAUGUUCAACAGUUAGGUGUAGCGGAGAUGCGCAUGUUGAGAUGGAUGUGUGGCCACACAAGAAAGGAUCGGAUCGAUGAUAUACAUGAUAGAGUUGGGGUAGCACCGAUUGAAAAGAAGCUUGUCCAACAUCGUCUGAGACGGUUUGGGCAUAUUCAACGUAGGCCUCCAGAAGCUGCAGUGCAUAGUGGGUGGUUAAAGCGUGCUGAUAAUGUCAAGGAAGGUCAGGUUAGACCAAACUUUGACAUGGAUGUCCGUACGGAGAGAUCUGAAGGACCGAAAUAUCACCAAAGAACUAGCCAUAGACAGGGGUGUGUGGAAGUUAGCUAUUGA